rnacentral:rRNA from 2 species
CAACUUUCAACAACGGAUCUCUUGGCUCUCGCAUCGAUGAAGAACGCAGCGAAAUGCGAUAAGUAAUGUGAAUUGCAGAAUUCAGUGAAUCAUCGAAUCUUUGAACGCACCUUGCGCCACCCGGUUCCGCCGGGGGGCAUGCCUGUUUGAGUGUCGUG